UUGGGACUUCAGCUGUCCUGGUCCAGGAAUCAGGAAACUGCUACAGCUCAGCUUAAUGCCCUUGGUUCUCAGGAGCAGCCUCAUGACACUCACGACAGGAACACACCCUCACGACGGGAACACAAAGGAUUCCUCCUCUACACUCCGGGCAAUUUUCAAAGCACACAGAUCUGUCCACUGACAGGAGCACAGAAGAUCCAUACUCUGCCUUCUCGUCCCAGCAUGUGGGAUCUUGGCUCUCCCACCAGGCAUCAAACCUACACUCCCUGCAUUGGAAGGAGGAGUCUUAACCAGGGAAGUUCCCUCAUCAGUGUUUGCUCUGCAGGAAGGAACUCGGUAUCACCAAAAGCUAACCAGGCACUACAGACCACAGAGAAAUUCACAGUAAGUUGAAAUGGAUGAAAAGGCAGUUUAACUGAGUUUAUUUUCCCUCUGCAAAGCGAUAAAAGCAGAUAUAUUCCAAAA